rnacentral:misc_RNA from 1 species
GAUGAAGAACGUAGCGAAAUGCGAUAAGUAGUGUGAAUUGCAGAAUUCAGCGAAUCAUCGAAUCUUUGAACGCACAUUGCGCCCCUCGGUAUUCCGUGGGGCAUGCCUGUUCGAGCGUCAUUUAACCCCUCAAGCCUAGCUUGGUAUUGGGUGCUUGUCCCGCCUCUCGCGCGGCGACUCACCUCAAAGUCAUUGGCAGCCCGCAUCUCGCCGGCCGUGAGCGCAGCACAGACGCGCUCUUGGCAACGACGGAUCGGCUCUCCAAAAGCUUAUUUCAACCACUGACCUCGGAUCAGGUAGGGAUACCCGCUGAACUUAAGCAUAUCAAUAAGCGGAGGA